rnacentral:rRNA from 1 species
GAGUAAAGAUUUCGGUCGCUUUGGGAGGAGCUCGCUUACUAUCAGCUUGUUGGUAGGGUAAUGGCCUACCAAGGCUAUGACGGUUAGGGGGUGUGAGAGCAUGACCCCCAGCAUUGGCACUGAAACACUGGCCAAACACCUACGGGUGGCUGCAGUCGAGAAUCUUCCACAACGGGGGAAACCCUGAUGGAGCGAUGCUGCGUGCGGGAUGAAGGCCUUCGGGUUGUAAACCGCUUUUGUAGGGGACGAAAUUUUUGACGGUACCCUUUCGAAUAAGAGGUUGCUAACUCUGUGCCAGCAGCAGCGGUAAUACAGAGACCUCAAGCGUUAUCCGGAUUUACUGGGCGUAAAGCGUCUGUAGGGGGUUUAUUAAGUUCCAAGUAAAAUUUCAAGGCUCAACUUUGAAUUCGCUUGGAAAACUAAUAAACUGGAGUCUAGCAGAGGUGCAUGGAACUUGUGGUGUAGGAGUGAAAUCCGUUGAUAUCACAAGGAACACCAAAGGCGAAGGCAUUGCACUGGGCUAGCACUGACCCUGAGAGACGAAAGCGUGGGGAGCAAAACGGAUUAGAUACCCGUGUAGUCCACGCCCUAAACGAUGAAUGCUAAAUGUUCGGGGAUUCGACCCCCUGGGUGUUACAGCUAACGCGUUAAGCAUUCCGCCUGGGAAGUACGGCCGCAAGGCUAAAACUCAAAGGAAUAGACGGGGAUCCGCACAAGCGGUGGAGCGUCUGGUUUAAUUCGACAGUAAGCGUGGUACCUCACCAGGGUUUGACAUCCCUUGACAGCCUUGGAAACAAGGUUUCCUUCGGGCAAGGUGACAGGUGCUGCAUGGUCGUCGUCAGUUCGUGCCGUGAGGUGUUCCGUUAAGUCGGGAAACGAACGAAACCCCUAUUGCAUGUUACAAUUUCUCAUGCAAGACUGCCCGGAUAUACUGGGAGGAAGGUGGGGAUGACGUCAGAUCUGCAUGGUCCUUAUACCCUGGGCGACACAGGCGCUACAAUGGCAGAGACAAAGGGUUGCAAAACCGCAAGGUGAAGCUAAUCCCAAAAACUUUGUCUAAGUUCGGAUUGAAGGCUGCAAUUCGCCUUCAUGAAGCUGGAAUCGCUAGUAAUCGUGAAUCAGCCACGUCACGGUGAAUAUGUUCCCGGAUCUUGUACUCACCGCCCGUCACACCAAGAGAGUUGGUAGCUCCCGAAG